rnacentral:lncRNA from 12 species
ACUGUUUCCUUAAUUAAUGAGUUGAAUAUAUAAACACCAUGUUUUUUAACUUUUUGAAAUUAUACUUAGAUGUUUAAAAAAGCAUAUUCUGGGGUACACAAAUCCCAAGAGACAUUUUCUGGGGAAAAUGAUUCCAUGGGCAACCUUUUGCCACCAGCUUCUGAAGACAUUUCACACACACACACACACACACACACAUACUCACACACCCCUGCAUUCCUAAAUGUACUUGACCCUGGCAACACUCCUUUCUUUUUUUCUGCCCUUUGGUUUCAUGCACAUGUCACAUCUUGGGACUUUUUCUCCAAAAUGCAGUUGCAUUGAUCCACCUCUCUCCAGCUCCGAUCAUCCCACCCUACUCAAAGUCAUCAUUUUCUCUUGACUGCUUUUGGAAACACAGGAGCUUCUGCUCCUGCUGCUCUUUAGCACAUUUUUCAUACAGUAGCCUAAGGGAUCUUCCAAAAUUAAAAUUAUGUCAUAUUUUUACCUUUUUAACAUUUGCUACCGGCUUCCCACUGUACUCAAACUAUAAUCCAGGCUUCCUCCAGGCCAGGCCCUACAAGAGGUGCCCUGUACCUGUCCCUCCUUGUCACUCCCUGUAUGGUAGCCUCACCAGCCUCCUUCAUCUUCCUAGAAUGCUCUGUGCUUCUUCCACCUUAGGGUUUUUCUUUCUGCAGUCGUCUCCCUCCAGAUUUUACGUGAUGACAUCUCAGUUGAAAUGUCAACUCCUCAGAGAGGCCUUCUUGGUCCAAAAUAGACCUUUCAUAUAUACAAUAGGCAAAGUAAAAGAAAGUCUACAUAACUGGUUUGAGGGUGCUGAAAAUGUAUUGCCCUCUAUGUGUCUCAAGUUCUUCACUGGAGGAUUACCUGGAAGUCUACCAUUCAGUCUUUUAAAGGAUAUUUUUGUCCUCUUUUGAAAUCCUAGAAGGAUUAAGGUGAAGAUGGAAGGGAAAAAGACUCAUGGCUAGGGGCAGCAAUUGGACCUGCAGAGAGGCGUCAUGUGGCCU